AUAAAAGAGGCAUGGAGAUUAAUUUCAUGUCGUUUUCGCGGUCAAGUCUUGGGAGGAUCAGAUCUUAGGCGCGCGCAGUCGCAGCCCCUUAAUUGGUGAAGGAUCACGCGAAACCUAGAGACAAGGCCCCCGGGCCUUGUUUUUUUUU
rnacentral:sRNA from 1 species